rnacentral:lncRNA from 1 species
UAAGUGUUUUAUGAUUUUUUCUUAAAAAUUUUGGUUUUGCUCUCCAAGUUUUUAAUUUAUUUUAUUUGAGUCAGUAAAUAAUAUUUUAACUUCAAAAUUUAAAUGAGUCAUCUAUUUUUUUAGGUUUAGUUAGUAUACUUUAUACCAUUCUCGCUAUUAUAAAUUUAGGUCAAUUUGCAUAAAAAAUGAACAAGUUUAGAGCUUUUGCAAAAUUGAGUCGCUUUUUUUUAUUUACAGAUUCGGUCCGAAAUUUCAACAAACUGACCAAAAUAUUUUUAUAUAUUUUUCUCUCUUUUUUUUUCUCUCGUUUUUUCUUUUUUUUUCUCCGAAGAAGGCGACAGAGGCGGAAACAGAAAUGGUCCGCCCCGCCUCACCUCUGCCCCUCACGGUCUCGCCCUCACCCUCGCCCUCGGCCUCGCCUUUACCCGCGCACCCCAGCCCUCCAACCUCACUGAAGCCGUGCUGCGACCAUUUUUUUUUUUCUCCAACCCUCCUCCACCACCGUCGCGGCUCUCCGCAACGAUAGCGAGGACGGUACCGCGUCCUCUUCCUCUGCCUUCGCCCUCCACUUCCACUACAGCAGAUUUUCUAUCCGCCAAACAAAUCCGUCGUCCCCACCGCCGCCGACAAAGAGGAAGUGCUUUUCGGGACCGAGAAGCACGCUGGCGAGGGAGGCGCAAAAAAAUGAUUACACUCCAGCGAGGACGGUGGCUGCGAUAGAGAUAAAGGGAGAAAAAGAAUGAAGAAAAAGAUGAAAUCGUACAAUUAAAAUAAUGUUAUACUAUUUUAAAAAAAAAAUUGUAUUGUUUUAAAUGAAAGUUGUACUCUUUGAGACUGAAAUUACACUCUUUGGAAUGAGAAUUACACUCUUUAGGUGAAAAUUGCACUCUUUGGGUGAAAUUUAGACCAUUUCUUUUUUUCUUCUUCCUCCUCCUCCUUCCCCUCCUUUCUCGGGGUUUGAUUUGACGUCACCAGCUGAGCGCAUGAACCGCACGUGACUAGCGCUAUUUCAAAAUCUCUGGCAUUGUUUUAUGGUUUAUUUUUAAAAGGGAAAACUUCAAAUACCACCUAUGUGGUUUCGUACUGUCUCACUUUGGUACUCUGUGGUUUAAAGUAUAUCACUUUCGUACCAUGUGAUUUUAUUUUUCUCUUUUUGUUAUCCCCACCAUUAAUUUUUUUUGUAACAAAGUUAAAACUAAAGGGUAUUAAAGUGAAUAUUCGAUAAACUAUAGGUAGGGUAUCUGAAGUUGUUUGUAUAUAAUUUAACAAAAAUUUAACGGAGAGACUGAUGAAAAGAGAAAAAGCCACAGAGUACUAAAUUGAUACACUUUAAACCACGGGGUACUAAAGUGAGAACGUGCGAAACCACAGAGGUGGUAUUUGAAAUUUUUCCUUCUUAAAAAUUUUGGUUUUACUAUCCAAAUUUUUAAUUUAUUUUACUUGAGUCAGUAAAUAAUAUUUUAACUUCAAAAUUUAAACGAGUCAUCUAUCUUUAUAGAUUUUGUCAGUAUACUUUGUACCAUUCUCGCUACUACAAAUUUAUUACAGUGCAAAAUUAGCUUAAAUGUUAACUUAAAUUAAAAAAAAUUGAAAUCACUUGUAUAACUCUGCGAUGUAAUCUAUGUGGUGUAUUAUCUUUUUAUAUAGAUAGGUAAAACAUUUUUCGAUCAUAUUUUCUCAUUGCAUAUAAUAUAUUCUUUUCAAUGUUAGAUCUCGAAUGAAAGAAAAUUUAAAUAUUACUGAAAGUCGAUAUUAUAAAUAUGACAUUUAAUACGUUGAGCGCAAAUAUUCUCUUCGGUUAGAUUUUUAUUUCUUUUUGGGAAAGAUAUUAUUUUGGCAUAGUCCACACUUAUACUUGCGUGCAUAAUGCGUCUUACAUGCAGUAAAAAAGUAUAAUAAAAAUAUAUUCACUUUAUUUUCAUAAACAAUAAAAUAUUUUAUAUGUAUUUACAACCGCAUUGCAGUUGUAGCUGCACUACAAUUAUAACUGCGUGCGUAUUCAAAUCUGGCGUUUGCUUUGAUACAUUUAAAUUCAAUUGUUGCAGUUGUAACUGCACAAGGAAGCUGAAUAGUUGAAACUAUGCCCAAAUUGGCUGUAGUUUUAACUGCAGUACUGCAGUAUUUCGAGAGUAAUUUUAAACAACGAUAAACUUACCUUUUUAAUAACCUUUUUAUAAUUUCUUUUUCCUUUCGUCCAUACAGAGUAAUCUCAUCAAUUCAUAUAUAAAAUGGUAAAAAUUCGUAAAUGCACUUUUCAUUUGUAUGUAACCAAACAAAAUAUUUAUAAACUAUAACGCUUUCUAUUACAUCUAAGCAAACAAAAUGUAUGGAAUUAUAAUUGUUGCAUUUUCAACUACACUGUAUUUAUAGUUACGUUGAACCAAAUUGCCCCUAAUUCGGUUAAAAUAUGAUUCAAAAACCAUAUUUAGGUUGGCCCAAUCUCGUCCAUACAAAGUAAUCUCACCAAUUCAUAUAUAAAAUGGUAUAAAUUGGUAAAUGCACUUUUCAGUCGUAUGUAACCAAACAAAAUAUUUAUAAAUUGUAACACUUUCUACUACAUCUAAGCAAACAAAAUGUAUGGAAUUAUAAUUGUUGCAUUUUCAACUACACUGUAUUUACAGUUACGUUGAACCAAAUUGCCCCUAAUUCGGUUAAAACACGAUUCAAAAACCGUAUUUAGGUUGGCCCAAUUUCGUCCAUACAGAGUAAUCUCACCAAUUCAUAUAUAAAAUGGUAUAAAUUGAUAAAUGCACUUUUCAGUCGUAUGUAACCAAACAAAAUAUUUAUAAACUGUAACGCUUUCUACUACAUCUAAGCAAACAAAAUGUAUGGAAUUAUAAUUGCUAUAUUUUUAACUACACUACAUUUACAGCUAUGUCGAACUAAAU